CCUACGGGUGGCAGCAGUGGGGAAUAUUGCACAAUGGGGGAAACCCUGAUGCAGCGACGCCGCGUGAGUGAAGAAGUAUUUCGGUAUGUAAAGCUCUAUCAGCAGGGAAGAAAAAAGACGGUACCUGACUAAGAAGCCCCGGCUAACUACGUGCCAGCAGCCGCGGUAAUACGUAGGGGGCAAGCGUUAUCCGGAUUUACUGGGUGUAAAGGGAGCGUAGACGGAGAAGCAAGUCUGAAGUGAAAGCCAGUGGCGUAACCACGGGACUGCUUUGGAAACUGUUUGACUAGAGUGCUGGAGAGGUAAGUGGAAUUCCUAGUGUAGCGGUGAAAUGCGUAGAUAUUAGGAGGAACACCAGUGGCGAAGGCGGCUUACUGGACAGUAACUGACGUUGAGGCUCGAAAGCGUGGGGAGCAAACAGGAUUAGAUACCCGAGUAGUC
rnacentral:rRNA from 1 species